rnacentral:rRNA from 1 species
UGCCUCAGUAACGGCGAGUGAAGCGGCAACAGCUCAAAUUUGAAAUCUGGCCGCAAGGUCCGAGUUGUAAUUUGUAGAGGAUGUUUCGGGCACCGCUCCGGGUUAAAUUUCUUGGAACAGAAUGUCAAAGAGGGUGAGAGUCCCGUCUUGGCCCGCGGUAGGACCUAUGUGAAACUCCUUCGACGAGUCGACUUGUUUGGGAAUGCAGGUCAAAAUGGGUGGUAAAUUUCAUCUAAAGCUAAAUAUUGGCCAGAGACCGAUAGCGCACAAGUAGAGUGAUCGAAAGAUGAAAAGCACUUUGAAAAGAGAGUUAAACAGUAUGUGAAAUUGUUGAAAGGGAAGCGCUGGCAACCAGACUCGAGCGCGGUGUUCCCCCUGGCUUCUGCCUGGGUUAUUUCACCGUGACCGGGCCAUCAUCAGUUUCGGGGGUUGGUUAAAGGCUUGGGAAAUGUAUCCACUCCUUCGGGGGUGGACUUAUAGCCCCAGGUGUCAUGCAGCCUCCCGGGACUGAGGAACGCGCUUCGGCGAGGAUGAUGGCGUAAUGGUUGUCAGCGACCCGUCUUGAAACACGGACCAAGGAGUCUAACAUCUAUGCGAGUGUUCGGGUGUCAAACCCUUGCGCGGAAUGAAAGUGAACGGAGGUAGGAAGGUGUAACAGCCUGCACUAUCGACCGAUCCUGAUGUCUUCGGAUGGAUUUGAGUAAGAGCAUAGCUGUUGGGACCCGAAAGAUGGUGAACUAUGCGUGAAUAGGGUGAAGCCAGAGGAAACUCUGGUGGAGGCUCGCAGCGGUUCUGACGUGCAAAUCGAUCGUCAAAUUUGCGUAUAGGGGCGAAAGACUAAUCGAACCAUCUGGUA